CUACGGAGGGGGCUAGCGUUGUUCGGAAUUACUGGGCGUAAAGCGUACGUAGGCGGACUGAUCAGUUGGGGGUGAAAUCCCAGGGCUUAACCCGGGAACUGCCUUCAAUACUGUCAGUCUAGAGUUUGGGAGAGGUGAGUGGAAUUCCUAGUGUAGAGGUGAAAUUCAUAGAUAUUAGGAGGAACACCAGUGGCGAAGGCGGCUCACUGGCCCAUUACUGACGCUGAGGUACGAAAGCGUGGGGAGCAAACAGGAUUAGAAACCCUAGUAGUCC
rnacentral:rRNA from 1 species